UACGGGGGGGCAAGCGUUGUUCGGAAUUACUGGGCGUAAAGGGCUCGUAGGCGGCCAACUAAGUCAGACGUGAAAUCCCUCAGCUUAACUGGGGAACUGCGUCUGAUACUGGAUGGCUUGAGUUCGGGAGAGGGAUGCGGAAUUCCAGGUGUAGCGGUGAAAUGCGUAGAUAUCUGGAGGAACACCGGUGGCGAAGGCGGCAUCCUGGACCGACACUGACGCUGAGGAGCGAAAGCCAGGGGAGCAAACGGG
rnacentral:rRNA from 1 species